rnacentral:SRP_RNA from 1 species
GCCAGGCAUGGUGGUGCAUGCCUGUAGUCCCAGCUACUCUGGAGGCUGAGGCAGGAGAAUCGCUUGAAUCUGGGAGGUGGAGGUUGCAGUGAGCUGAGAUCGCACCACUGCACUCCACCCUGGGCAACAGAGUGAGACUCUGUCUCAA